rnacentral:rRNA from 1 species
AACCGCAAACCUAAGCAGCUAACCAAAUAAAACUGCUCGCCAGAGUACUACCAGCAACGGCCCAAAACUCAAAGGACUUGGCGGUGCUUCACACCCCCCUAGAGGAGUCUGUUCUAUAAUCGAUAAACCCCGAUACACCUUACCACCUCUUGCCAACCCAGCCUGUAUACCGCCAUCUUCAGCAAACCCCUCCAGGGUACAAAAGUAAGCCCAAGAAUCCACAUAAAAACGUUAGGUCAAGGUGCAGCCCAUGAGAUGGAAGAAAUGGACUACAUUUUCUAAUCCAGAACAAUUCACCCACGACAACCUUCAUGAAAACUGAAGGCCAAAGGAGGAUUUAGCAGUAAAUUAAGAAUAGAGAGCUCAAUU